ACUAAUAUAAACCUGGUCCAAGCUAACUUAGCGUGGACCAGGGCAACGGAGUAAUUUGUAUGGGCAACAUAUGUAACUGUCACGUGACAGUUAUUUUGUGAUUUUAAAUAGUAACUAUAUACGUAUAACAGUAACUAUGUGUUUUAAAGAGUUACUAUGUGUUUUGUAGAGUUUCAAUGCGAUUUGUGUCUAACCCACUUUAUAUACGUUUUAAACUUUUUUAUUUUUCAAAAUUUCAGAUCUACAUUCUGUUCAUUCUCUUUCAUUUUCUCUCUCUUCAUUUUCUCUCUAUGCUUUUCAAAAUUUAGCCCAAAUUUCUAGGUUUUGUUCGAUUUUCUUCGUAAUUAUCUUAUAAUUUUUAUAAUUUUAUCUAUUAGAUGAGGAAAAAUUGGAGGAAGUAGUAGAUCAAGAAGGAGGUUCGUCGUUGCCGAAAUCGAAUCGAAGAAUUUGCGCUCGCCUACAAAUCUUCGCAAGAAUUUUUAGAGAUCACAUCUCGAAAUACAAAGAUGAUGCAUCCAUAAUUGAAGUCGUGCAAAGAAUAACUUCUACAAGGAAAACAAAAGUAGGAGAAAAAGAAGAAGAAAAUCCCGACAACAAUGAAAACCAAGGACGUGGUAGAGGAAGGAAGGAUGUGCGUGAAAGUGGCGAUUAAUAUAUUUUUUAGUUCAAAAAUCAUUUGAGUUUAAUGUGAUUUAUUUAAUAGAUGCAAAUAAUUAGAAUGUCAUAGCUUAAAACAACCAACUAUGUAGUUAAUGUUUUUCUUAAUUAUUGUCCAAGAGUUAUAAUUCCUCUUUUUUAUUUAGUAACUAUACGAUAUAUAAUAGUAACUAUAUAAUAGAAAAAAGUUACUAUAUUACCUCUAAAGCA